GGAAGCGUGGCCGAGUGGUCGAAGGCACCGGUCUUGAAAACCGGCAGGCGCGAAAGCGUCUCGUGGGUUCGAAUCCCACCGCUUCUGCCA
rnacentral:tRNA from 1 species